GGUUUCUUGUAAAAGUAAGAGAUUUGGCCUGCCCACUGAUUGUUAAUUGAAGGGCCGCAGUAUUUUGACUGUGCGAAGGUAGCAUAAUCAUUAGUCUUUUAAUUGGAGGCUGGAAUGAAUGGUUAGACGAAACAAAAUCUGUUUUAUAUUAAUUAUAAUUGAAUUUAGUAUUUAAGUAAAAAUACUUAAAUGUUAUUAAGGGACGAGAAGACCCUAUAGAGUUUUAUAUUAUAUAAUUAAUUAAUUGAGUUAGUUAAUAAUUUUUGAUUAAUUAAUUUUAAUAUUUGAUUGGGGCGAUUAAAAGAUAUAAAAAACUCUUUUUAGUAGUUUAUAUAAUUAGUAUUUUUAAGAUCCAUAAAUUGUGAUUGUAAGAUUAAAUUACCUUAGGGAUAACAGCAUAAUUCUUUUUAAGAGUUCAUAUCGAAAGGAGAGAUUAUGACCUCGAUGUUGGAUUAAGAUAAAUUUUGGGUGUAAGUGUUCAUGAAUUAGGUCUGUUCGACCUUUAAUUUCUUACA
rnacentral:rRNA from 1 species